rnacentral:rRNA from 1 species
UACGUAGGGUGCGAGCGUUGUCCGGAAUUAUUGGGCGUAAAGAGCUCGUAGGCGGUGUGUCGCGUCGGCCGUGAAAACCUGGGGCUUAACUCUGGGCGUGCGGUCGAUACGGGCAUCACUGGAGUUCGGCAGGGGAGACUGGAAUUCCUGGUGUAGCGGUGAAAUGCGCAGAUAUCAGGAGGAACACCGGUGGCGAAGGCGGGUCUCUGGGCCGAUACUGACGCUGAGGAGCGAAAGCCAUGGGUAGCGAACAGG